GUAUGGUAAAGGGUUCAUUGCAGUCCCUUCAGUGUGGGCCUCUCAUGAUGUGCCCAUGCCACAGCGAACUGCAGCCUUGACCCAUUGCCCAGCCUUCUCAACAUGGGCCAUAAGCACUGAAAGGAAUUUCACAUUG
ensembl:snoRNA